rnacentral:rRNA from 1 species
GAUGAACGCUGGCGGCGUGCCUAAUACAUGCAAGUCGAGCGAACAGAUAAGGAGCUUGCUCCUUUGACGUUAGCGGCGGACGGGUGAGUAGCACGUGGGUAACCUACCUAUAAGACUGGGAUAACUUCGGGAAACCGGAGCUAAUACCGGAUAAUAUUUCGAACCGCAUGGUUCGAUAGUGAAAGAUGGUUUUGCUAUCACUUAUAGAUGGACCCGCGCCGUAUUAGCUAGUUGGUAAGGUAACGGCUUACCAAGGCGACGAUACGUAGCCGACCUGAGAGGGUGAUCGGCCACACUGGAACUGAGACACGGUCCAGACUCCUACGGGAGGCAGCAGUAGGGAAUCUUCCGCAAUGGGCGAAAGCCUGACGGAGCAACGCCGCGUGAGUGAUGAAGGUCUUCGGAUCGUAAAACUCUGUUAUUAGGGAAGAACAUACGUGUAAGUAACUGUGCACGUCUUGACGGUACCUAAUCAGAAAGCCACGGCUAACUACGUG